rnacentral:rRNA from 1 species
AGCCUUCAGCAAACAACAAGUAUUGAAGGUGAUGCCUGCCCAGUGACCCUCAAAGUUCAACGGCCGCGGUAUCCUAACCGUGCGAAGGUAGCGCAAUCAAUUGUCCCAUAAAUUGAGACUUGUAUGAAUGGCUAAACGAGGUCUUAACUGUCUCUUGCAGAUAAUCAGUGAAAUUAGUAUUCCCGUGCAAAAACGAGAAUGUGACCAUAAGACGAGAAGACCCUGUGGAACUUAAAAAUAACGACCACCUCCCCACCAACACCACCCACCGGGCCCACCUGUGCAAAAUACCUGGUCGACAUUUUUCGGUUGGGGCGACCUUGGAGAAAAACAAAUCCUCCAAACCUGCAGACCACAACUCUUCACUAAGAUCAACCCAUCAAAGUACUAAAAGUAAUUUAGACCCAAUAUAAUUGACCAAUGAACCAAGCUACCCCGGGGAUAACAGCGCAAUCUCCUCCAAGAGCCCAUAUCGACAAGGAGGUUUACGACCUCGAUGUUGGAUCAGGACAACCUAAUGGUGCAGCCGCUAUUAAGGGUUUGUUUGUUCAACGAUUAACAGUCCU